CUUCCAUGGCCUCAACUCAGUCUUCUCAUUCCCAAGCCAUUCCACAAACUUCUUCAUCCUUUUGAAGGAAAGAAAUUGUCUUCACUGAAAUAGAAUACGGGGACAGCCCAAACUCAAGAGAUCACUGGGAGAACGACAGCCAAAGGAUUAAGUCUGUGCCAGAGUGACAAACUCCUAUCAAACACCAAUUACAACAGAAGAUGGUAUGGAAAUACGAAUGUAGUCUAGAUGUGCUGUCUCUAAAUGCCAUCCACUCUAUAAAGGAAAAUUAAACCAGU